GGGGAUGUAGCUCAGUGGGAGAGCACUUGCAUGGCAUGCAAGGGGUCGUGGGUUCGACUCCCAUCAUCUCCA
rnacentral:tRNA from 1 species